UACGUAGGGUGCGAGCGUUAAUCGGAAUUACUGGGCGUAAAGCGCACGUAGGCGGCUUUGUAAGUUAGAGGUGAAAGCCUGGAGCUCAACCCCAGAAUUGCCUUUAAGACUGCAUCGCUUGAAUCCAGGAGAGGUGAGUGGAAUUCCGAGUGUAGAGGUGAAAUUCGUAGAUAUUCGGAAGAACACCAGUGGCGAAGGCGGCUCACUGGACUGGUAUUGACGCUGAGGUGCGAAAGCGUGGGGAGCAAACAGG
rnacentral:rRNA from 1 species